GAUGAACGCUGGCGGCGUGCCUAACACAUGCAAGUCGAGCGAACGGACGAGAAGCUUGCUUCUUUGAUGUUAGCGGCGGGCGGGUGAGUAACACGUGGAUAACCUACCUAUAAUACUGGGAUAACUUCGGGAAACCGGAUCUAAUACCAGAUAAUAUUUUGAACCGCAUGGUUCAAAAGUGAAAGACGGUCUUGCUGUCACUUAUAGAUGGUUCCGCGCUGGAUUAGCUAGUUGGUAAGGUAACGGCUUACCAAGGCGACGAUGCGUAGCCGACGGGAGAGGGGGAUCGGCCACACUGGAACUGGGACACGCUCCAGACUCCUACGGGAGGCCGCAGUAGGGAAUCGUAGGCAAUGGGCGAAAGCCUGACGCAGCGACGCCGCGUGAGUGAUGAAGGUCUUCGGAUCGUAAAACUCUGUUAUUGGGGAAGAACAGAUGUGUCAGUAAAUGUGGACAUAUUGACGGUACCUAAUCAGAAAGCAACGGCUAACUACGUG
rnacentral:rRNA from 1 species